UAAGACAAGGCUAGCAGUGAACUCAGAGA
rnacentral:piRNA from 1 species